GCUGGGUGUGGUGGCAUGCACCUGUAGUUCCAGCUACUCAGGAGGCUGAGGUGGGAGGAUCAUUUGAGCCCAGGAGGUCAAGGCUGCAGUGAGCCAAGAUUGUGCCACUUGCCACUGCACUCCAGCCUAGGCAACAGAGUGAGACCCUGCCUCAA
ensembl:misc_RNA Metazoa_SRP Metazoan signal recognition particle RNA